AGUGAACGCUGGCGGCGUGCCUAACACAUGCAAGUCGAACGAUGAUGGAGGAGCUUGCUCUUCCUGAUUAGUGGCGCACGGGUGAGUAUACCAUAGAUAAUGUGCCCCUUAGUUCGGGAUAGCCACUGGAAACGGUGAUUAAUACCGGAUACUCCUUCUUGCCAUAAGGUAAGUCGGGAAAGUUUUUUCGCUAAGGGAUCAGUCUAUGUCCUAUCAGGUAGUUGGUGAGGUAACGGCUCACCAAGCCUAUGACGGGUAUCUGGUUUGAGAGGAUGAUCAGACACACUGGAACUGAGACACGGUCCAGACUCCUACGGGAGGCAGCAGUGAGGAAUAUUGCACAAUGGAGGAAACUCUGAUGCAGCAACGCCGCGUGGAGGAUGACGCAUUUCGGUGUGUAAACUCCUUUUAAGAGGGAAGAUUAUGACGGUACCUCUUGAAUAAGCACCGGCUAACUCCGUGCCAGCCGCCGCAGUAA
rnacentral:rRNA from 1 species